AUCCGGGAAUCUUGUAUAUCCUGCAUACGCCGUUUUAUUUGUCGCCGCGGUUCACCUAUCGAGAUUCAUUCAGAUAACGCAACGAACUUCAAAGGUGCAGAGAUUAUUCUUCAAUCCCAGAUCCAAAAAAACAUCGCGGAGACAGCUGCUACAUUCACCAAUGCCAGGACUAAGUGGGUCUUCAUCCCACCAUCAGCACCUCACAUGGGAGGUGCCUGGGAGAGAUUGGUUCGUUCUAUAAAAUGUGCUAUGAUGAAUCUUCCUCAAGUUCGUAAAAUGGAUGAUGAAGCUCUUCAAACUGUUGUUGUGGAAGCAGAAGCUAUAGUAAACUCUCGUCCGUUGACUUACCUACCACUGGACUCGGAAGAACAGGAAGCCUUAACCCCUAAUCACUUCCUUUUAUAUAGCUCUAGCGGCAUCUCACAGCCAGCUAUUCCAGUCAACAACUCUACCAGGGAACCAGUGAAAUUCCAUGAUCUAAUCCAGCGCAACUUAGAUCAUUUUUGGGGACGAUGGCUUCGGGAGUAUCUCCCAACCCUCACGAAGAGGACUAAAUGGUUUGAAGAAACAAAAUCAAUUGCAAUAGGAGAUUUAGUCAUAGUCAUCGAUGAAUCCAGGAGGAAUGGAUGGGUUCGUGGGCGUGUCCAAGAAGUUCAACCAGGGAAGGAUGGUCGAAUACGUCGUGCCAUAGUACAAACUGCCAACGGAUUAUUUCGACGUCCCGUUUCGAAGCUCGCAGUCCUUGAAGUGAACGGAAUUGGUAAAGCCGAGUAGUAUACUCGUCCUUACGGGGAGGGGAAUGUUGCUACCGAAGGCGAAUCAUCGCGCCUGGCAACGCUUCCACGGUGACAACCAACGUCAUGAAUACGUCACAUCAAACAACUUGUCAUAACAACAAACCCUAUACUCAACGUGGUUGUGAAUUUUGAAGGUUUUAAGAUAUCCAAAUCAAUUUCGUUACGAAAAGGUAUUAUUUAAAAGGCAUGCUUAUGAUAAACUUGUUGCUAAAAGUAUCUUUAAAUCUACCAGCCCUCCGUGAAUUUGUGAACUCAGGUUUAAGCUACGGGAAUUUCUCGCUACAGUACACUGUGUGUUUGUUACCCAAGGAAUAGUUCUCGAAAGAGCCAGAACAGACUUUUAGAAUCAAGGGAACACUAUUUUCUUGAAGCCCCUUGAAUAAAAUUGCUAUCGAGAAAGUGUUUGCCUGUGUAGUUCUACGAGAACAAAACGCUUACGACGCUACGACGUAUGCAACGUUUCUCAAAAAAGUUAGAGCAGAUCCUGAGUUGAGGGACUUGGGCGAAAACAUGAUAAGGACCAGGCGCACGCAAACCAGAAAGAUGCUCUUCGAGUUAAAGAAGGACCCUGCGAUUCAUAGCUCGAUUAUGCAGGAACGCAUACCGCAAUCGUUGGGCUCAGAGGCGGAAGUCAAAGCCUUAACUCC